AAGAUAGACAAAGAGUUACAAAGUUAUCGUUUAGAAGAACGGCUUGGGAAAGCCGACCACAGAGAGUGAAAGUCUCGUAUUCGAAAAGCGUUAACCUCUUGAGUGUUACCCAAGUAGCGCGGGUCACGUGAAAUCCUGUGUGAAUCCGGGCGGACCACCGUCUAAGGCUAAAUACUUUCUGCCACCGAUAGCGAACAGUACCGUGAGGGAAUGGUGAAAAGAACCCCGGGAGGGGAGUGAAACAGAAUCUGAAACCGUACGUCUACGAGCAGUCAGAGCACCGUUAUUUGGUGCGAUGGCGUGCCUUUUGCAUAAUGAUCCGGCGAGUUGCUUAUACGUUGCGAGGUUAAUCAAUAUAGUUGAGGAGCCGUAGCGAAAGCGAGUCCGAACAGGGCGCUUCAGUAGCGUGUAGCAGACCCGAAACCGAGUGAUCUACCCAUGGUCAGGUUGAAGUGAGCCUAACCGCUCAUGAAGGACCGAACCAGUGUCAGUUGAAAAUGGCUUGGAUGAACUGUGGGUAGUGGUGAAAUGCUAAUCGAACUCGGAUAUAGCUGGUUCUCUCCGAAAUGCAUUUAGGUGCAGCGUUACGUGUUAUGUUGCGGGGGUAGAGCACUGAAUGUUCUAGGGGCCCCACCGGGUUACCGAAAUCAAUCAAACUCCGAAUACCGUAACAGUAUAGCGUAGCAGUGAGACUGCGGGAGAUAAGUUUCGUAGUCAAAAGGGAAACAGCCCAGACCAUCAGCUAAGGUCCCUAAAUAUCGACUAAGUGUAAAAGGAAGUGAAAUCGCGUAAACAGCCGGGAUGUUGGCUUAGAAGCAGCCAUUCGUCUAAAAAGUGCGUAACAGCUUACCGGUCGAAUGUGAUUUCGCGCCGAUAAUGUAAGGGGGCUGAAGUCGAUUACCGAAGCUAUGGAUUACCGUCUUGUACGGUAGUGGUAGGAGAGCGUUCUCACAGCGAUGAAGCGGUACCGUAAGGAGUUGUGGAGUUGUGAGAAGUGAGGAUGCCGGAAUGAGUAGCGAAAAGGGGAGNNGGGUUCUUAAGGAAGGAUCGUCCUCUUGAGUUUAGUCGGUCCUAAGGCGAGGCCGAAGGGCGUAGUCGAUGGGCAUCAGGCAGAUAUUCCUGAACCGGUGCAAAUUGUUUGAGUGAAGUGGUGACACGGCUCAGUGCGGCCCACCCGGCGUUGGUAGUCCGGGGUUGUAUGUAGGAGCAGACAGGUAGGCAAAUCCGCUUGUGAUGAAAGCUUCGGCAUAUGAGGAGACAAAGAGAAAUCGGCGUUUAACCGGUUGCUCGGGUCGUCAAGAAAACCCGCUAAUGAGAUUUGUACCGACCGUACCGCAAACCGACACAGGUAGGCAAGUAGAGGAUACUAAGGCGUGCGAGAUAACCCUCGUUAAGGAACUAGGCAAGUUGACCCCGUAACUUCGGGAGAAGGGGUGCCUCGGUUGGAGAGUAUUUUGACAUAUGAUUUGACUGAGGUCGCAGUGACAAGGCUCGAGCGACUGUUUAACAAAAACACAGGUCUCUGCUAAGCUGAAAAGCAAUGUAUAGGGGCUGACACCUGCCCAAUGCCGGAAGGUUAAGAGGAGAGGUUAGUCGCAAGACGAAGCUUUGAAUUUAAGCCCCAGUAAACGGCGGCCGUAACUAUAACGGUCCUAAGGUAGCGAAAUUCCUUGUCGGGUAAGUUCCGACCCGCACGAAUGGUGUAACGAUUUGAGCGCUGUCUCAACAAGGGACCCGGCGAAAUUGUAGUAUGGGUGAAGAUGCCCAUUACCCGCAUCAGGACGGAAAGACCCCGUAGAGCUUUACUGUAGCUUGAUAUUGAAUUUUGGUAUAUGAUGCACAGCAUAGGUGGGAGCAGCAAUGCAGCAGUGGAAUACCACCCUUUGUAUAUUGGGAUUCUAACAUCUUGCCGUAAUCCGGGAGAUGGACAGUGUCAGGCGGGUAGUUUGACUGGGGCGGUCGCCUCCCAAAAAGUAACGGAGGCGUACAAAGGUUGCCUCAGGAUGGUUGGAAAUCAUCCGUUAGAGUAUAAGUGCAGAAGCCAACUUGACUGCGAGAACGACGGUUCGAGCAGGUGCGAAAGCAGGUACUAAUGACCCUCUGGCUCAGUGUGGAAUGGCCAGGGUUCAUCGGAUAAAAGUUACCCCGGGGAUAACAGGCUUAUCUUGCCCAAGCGCUCACAUCGACGGCAAGGUUUGGCACCUCGAUGUCGGCUCGUCGCAUCCUGGGGCUGUAGUCGGUCCCAAGGGUUAGGCUGUUCGCCUAUUAAAGCGGUACGCGAGCUGGGUUCAGAACGUCGUGAGACAGUUCGGUCCCUAUCCGGUGUGGGCGCAAGAGAUUUGAACGGAUCUGUCCUUAGUACGAGAGGACCGGGAUGGACGGACCUCCGGUGUACCGGUUGUCGUGCCAACGGCAGGUGCCGAGUAGCUAUGUCCGGAACGGAUAACCGCUGAAAGCAUCUAAGUGGGAAGCCGGCCGUAAGAUUAGGUCACUCACGGAAUUAAUCCGGUAAGGUCCCCGAUAGACUAUCGGGUUGAUAGGUCGCAGGUGUAAGUGCAGUAAUGUAUUGU
rnacentral:rRNA from 1 species